rnacentral:rRNA from 1 species
UUGACCUCAAAUCAGGUAGGACUACCCGCUGAACUUAAGCAUAUCAAUAAGCGGAGGAAAAGAAACUAACAAGGAUUCCCCUAGUAACUGCGAGUGAAGCGGGAAAAGCUCAAAUUUAAAAUCUGGCAGUCUCUGGCUGUC